AGACGGGGGGGGCGAGCGUUGUUCGGAAUUACUGGGCGUAAAGGGCGCGCAGGCGGCUUGGGAAGUCUUGGGUGAAAGCCCCCAGCUCAACUGGGGAAUGGCCUGAGAAACCACUAGGCUUGAGUGCUGGAGAGGGAAGCGGAAUUCCCGGUGGAGCGGUGAAAUGCGUAGAUAUCGGGAGGAACACCAGAGGCGAAGGCGGCUUCCUGGACAGACACUGACGCUGAGGCGCGAAAGCUAGGGGAGCAAACGGGAUUAGAUACCCCGGUAGUCC
rnacentral:rRNA from 1 species